rnacentral:rRNA from 1 species
GACGAACGCUGGCGGCGUGCCUAACACAUGCAAGUCGAGCGAAUGAAGUUCCUUCGGGAAUGGAUUUAGCGGCGGACGGGUGAGUAACACGUGGGCAACCUGCCUCAUAGAGGGGAAUAGCCUUCCGAAAGGGAGAUUAAUACCGCAUAAGAUUGUAGUAUCGCAUGAUACAGCAAUUAAAGGAGCAAUCCGCUAUGAGAUGGGCCCGCGGCGCAUUAGCUAGUUGGUGAGGUAACGGCUCACCAAGGCGACGAUGCGUAGCCGACCUGGGAGGGUGAUCGGCCACAUUGGGACUGAGACACGGCCCAGACUCCUACGGGAGGCAGCAGUGGGGAAUAUUGCACAAUGGGGGAAACCCUGAUGCAGCAACGCCGCGUGAGUGAUGACGGCCUUCGGGUUGUAAAGCUCUGUCUUCAGGGACGAUAAUGACGGUACCUGAGGAGGAAGCCACGGCUAACUACGUG